rnacentral:rRNA from 1 species
UACGUAGGGGGCGAGCGUUGUCCGGAGUUAUUGGGCGUAAAGGGUCCGUAGGCGGUCGGCUAAGUUCCUGCUGAAAGCUCCCGGCUUAACUGGGAGAGGGGUAGGGAGACUGGUUGGCUGGAGGGCAGGAGAGGCAAGCGGAAUUCCCGGUGUAGUGGUGAAAUGCGUAGAGAUCGGGAAGAACACCAGCGGCGAAGGCGGCUUGCUGGCCUGUACCUGACGCUGAGGGACGAAAGCUAGGGGAGCAAACAGG